UAAUGUUGGGUUCUAAUAGACACCGCCUCCCGGCUUUUUCGCUAACUACAGAAACACAAAAUUAAAAGAUCUCCGCGUACAACACGGUAAUAAGUGUGAGAACCCGCAUGCUUGCAAAUGAUUGUUUGUUUAAUAUAUCGCUUCUUGUGUCAUUUAAGAACACAUUCAUUCGCAUCUUCAGGGGUUUUAUAAAGCGUACUAGGCCUGUUUGCACGUGCACAGUCCACAUCGAAUAAGGGAAUACUUACCUAUACUGGAUCACUACUGUGGCUUUUUUCAGUGUACUCCUGAAAGGUGGUGUUUCACCUAAGCCUUUGUUAGCAGACAGAAGCAACUCCUGUAUUGUGUUCUAUCAUAUCCUUCAAUUUUGACUAAGAGACCAAGUUCUGAGGAUUAAUCAGUGUACCCAGAGAAUGAAGAUCCCAACAUUACUGUAGGGAUGAUGUUCACUAAGAGCUACACACAGUAUCAUACUGCAUGAAUACAGCUUCCAGUAUAACCAGCCUACCUCUUUAAUGUGAUGCUAAUAUAUGAUACAGCAUCUGUGACAUACACAGCACACAGUCAUCGCAAAGUGGGUGCAUCAAAGGCAAACAAGCAUCUCCGAUACUCGGCCAGAGCUGCUCAAGGGCUGCUUAUCAAUCUUUCAUGGGGCUGUUAAGCUGGUGUCCCUCCUCCACAUGUUCCCUCCUGUUCACUCAUCCAUUUA